rnacentral:rRNA from 1 species
GGGAGGAUCUUAGACAAUGGGCGCAAGCCUGAUCUAGCCAUGCCGCGUGUGUGAUGAAGGUCUUAGGAUCGUAAAGCACUUUCGCCAGGGAUGAUAAUGACAGUACCUGGUAAAGAAACCCGCGUACAUCCGUGCCAGCAGCCGCGGUAAUACGGAGGGGGUUAGCGUUGUUCGGAAUUACUGGGCGUAAAGCGUACGUAGGCGGAUUGGAAAGUUGGGGUGAAUCCAGGGACUCAAGCCCUGGAACUCGCCUGCCAAAACUCAUCAAGUCUAGAGUUCGAGAGAGGUGAGUGGAAUUCCAAGU